UCGCCUUCCACGACUCGUCGUCACCGAAC
rnacentral:sRNA from 1 species